rnacentral:rRNA from 1 species
UACGAAGGGGGCUAGCGUUGCUCGGAAUCACUGGGCGUAAAGGGUGCGUAGGCGGGUCUUUUAAGUCAGGGGUGAAAUCCUGGAGCUCAACUCCAGAACUGCCUUGGAUACUGAAGAUCUUGAGUUCGGGAGAGGUGAGUGGAACUGCGAGUGUAGAGGUGAAAUUCGUAGAUAUUCGCAAGAACACCAGUGGCGAAGGCGGCUCACUGGCCCGAUACUGACGCUGAGGCACGAAAGCGUGGGGAGCAAACAGG